GGUUAAGCGACUAAGCGUACACGGUGGAUGCCCUGGCAGUCAGAGGCGAUGAAGGACGUGCUAAUCUGCGAAAAGCGUCGGUAAGGUGAUAUGAACCGUUACAGCCGGCGAUGUCCGAAUGGGGAAACCCAGUGCAAUUCGUUGCACUAUCGUUAACUGAAUACAUAGGUUAACGAGGCGAACCGGGGGAACUGAAACAUCUAAGUACCCCGAGGAAAAGAAAUCAACCGAGAUUCCCCCAGUAGCGGCGAGCGAACGGGGAGCAGCCCAGAGUCUGAAUCAGCUUGUGUGUUAGUGGAACGGUCUGGAAAGUCCGACGGUACAGGGUGAUAGUCCCGUACACCAAAAUGCACAGGCUGUGAACUCGAAGAGUAGGGCGGGACACGUGGUAUCCUGUCUGAAUAUGGGGGGACCAUCCUCCAAGGCUAAAUACUCCUGACUGACCGAUAGUGAACCAGUACCGUGAGGGAAAGGCGAAAAGAACCCCGGCGAGGGGAGUGAAAAAGAACCUGAAACCGUGUACGUACAAGCAGUGGGAGCACCUUCGGGUGUGACUGCGUACCUUUUGUAUAAUGGGUCAGCGACUUAUAUUCUGUAGCAAGGUUAACCGUAUAGGGGAGCCGCAGGGAAACCGAGUCUUAACUGGGCGUUAAGUUGCAGGGUAUAGACCCGAAACCCGGUGAUCUAGCCAUGGGCAGGUUGAAGGUUGGGUAACACUAACUGGAGGACCGAACCGACUAAUGUUGAAAAAUUAGCGGAUGACUUGUGGCUGGGGGUGAAAGGCCAAUCAAACCGGGAGAUAGCUGGUUCUCCCCGAAAGCUAUUUAGGUAGCGCCUCGUGAAUUCAUCUUCGGGGGUAGAGCACUGUUUCGGCUAGGGGGUCAUCCCGACUUACCAACCCGAUGCAAACUACGAAUACCGAAGAAUGUUAUCACGGGAGACACACGGCGGGUGCUAACGUCCGUCGUGAAGAGGGAAACAACCCAGACCGCCAGCUAAGGUCCCAAAGUCAUGGUUAAGUGGGAAACGAUGUGGGAAGGCACAGACAGCCAGGAUGUUGGCUUAGAAGCAGCCAUCAUUUAAAGAAAGCGUAAUAGCUCACUGGUCGAGUCGGCCUGCGCGGAAGAUGUAACGGGGCUAAACCAUGCACCGAAGCUGCGGCAGCGACACUAUGUGUUGUUGGGUAGGGGAGCGUUCUGUAAGCCUGCGAAGGUGACCUGUGAGGGUUGCUGGAGGUAUCAGAAGUGCGAAUGCUGACAUAAGUAACGAUAAAGCGGGUGAAAAGCCCGCUCGCCGGAAGACCAAGGGUUCCUGUCCAACGUUAAUCGGGGCAGGGUGAGUCGACCCCUAAGGCGAGGCCGAAAGGCGUAGUCGAUGGGAAACAGGUUAAUAUUCCUGUACUUGGUGUUACUGCGAAGGGGGGACGGAGAAGGCUAUGUUAGCCGGGCGACGGUUGUCCCGGUUUAAGCAUGUAGGCUGGUUAUCCAGGCAAAUCCGGAUAAUCAAGGCUGAGGUGUGAUGACGAGGCACUACGGUGCUGAAGUAACAAAUGCCCUGCUUCCAGGAAAAGCCUCUAAGCAUCAGGUAACAUCAAAUCGUACCCCAAACCGACACAGGUGGUCAGGUAGAGAAUACCAAGGCGCUUGAGAGAACUCGGGUGAAGGAACUAGGCAAAAUGGUGCCGUAACUUCGGGAGAAGGCACGCUGGUGUGUAGGUGAAGUCCCUGCGGAUGGAGCUGAGACCAGUCGAAGAUACCAGCUGGCUGCAACUGUUUAUUAAAAACACAGCACUGUGCAAACACGAAAGUGGACGUAUACGGUGUGACGCCUGCCCGGUGCCGGAAGGUUAAUUGAUGGGGUUAUCCGUAAGGAGAAGCUCUUGAUCGAAGCCCCGGUAAACGGCGGCCGUAACUAUAACGGUCCUAAGGUAGCGAAAUUCCUUGUCGGGUAAGUUCCGACCUGCACGAAUGGCGUAAUGAUGGCCAGGCUGUCUCCACCCGAGACUCAGUGAAAUUGAACUCGCUGUGAAGAUGCAGUGUACCCGCGGCAAGACGGAAAGACCCCGUGAACCUUUACUAUAGCUUGACACUGAACAUUGAGCCUUGAUGUGUAGGAUAGGUGGGAGGCUUUGAAGCGUGGACGCCAGUCUGCGUGGAGCCAACCUUGAAAUACCACCCUUUAAUGUUUGAUGUUCUAACGUUGGCCCCUUACCGGGGUUGCGGACAGUGUCUGGUGGGUAGUUUGACUGGGGCGGUCUCCUCCCAAAGCGUAACGGAGGAGCACGAAGGUUAGCUAAUCCUGGUCGGACAUCAGGAGGUUAGUGCAAUGGCAUAAGCUAGCUUGACUGCGAGCGUGACGGCGCGAGCAGGUGCGAAAGCAGGUCAUAGUGAUCCGGUGGUUCUGAAUGGAAGGGCCAUCGCUCAACGGAUAAAAGGUACUCCGGGGAUAACAGGCUGAUACCGCCCAAGAGUUCAUAUCGACGGCGGUGUUUGGCACCUCGAUGUCGGCUCAUCACAUCCUGGGGCUGAAGUAGGUCCCAAGGGUAUGGCUGUUCGCCAUUUAAAGUGGUACGCGAGCUGGGUUUAGAACGUCGUGAGACAGUUCGGUCCCUAUCUGCCGUGGGCGCUGGAGAAUUGAGGGGGGCUGCUCCUAGUACGAGAGGACCGGAGUGGACGCAUCACUGGUGUUCGGGUUGUCAUGCCAAUGGCACUGCCCGGUAGCUAAAUGCGGAAGAGAUAAGUGCUGAAAGCAUCUAAGCACGAAACUUGCCCCGAGAUGAGUUCUCCCUGAGACUUUAAGUCUCCUGAAGGAACGUU
rnacentral:rRNA from 1 species